rnacentral:rRNA from 1 species
AGAGAGAGACAUGCGCGCAUAUCAAUAAGCGGAGGAAAAGAAACUAACAAGGAUUCCCUUAGUAACGGCGAGUGAAGCGGGAAGAGCUCAAAUUUGAAAUCUUCAAGGUUUUACCUUGACGAAUUGUAGUUUAAAGAAGUGUUUUCUGCUGAAGUUUUGGUAAAAGUUCUUUGGAAUAGGACAUCAUAGAGGGUGAGAAUCCCGUAUUUGACCAUUAUUUUCAGCUUUGUGAUACACUUUCAAAGAGUCGGAUUGUUUGGGAAUGCAGUCCAAAAUGGGUGGUAAAUUUCAUCUAAAGCUAAAUAUUGGCGAGAGACCGAUAGCGAACAAGUACCGUGAGGGAAAGAUGAAAAGAACUUCGAAAAGAGAGUUAAACAGUACGUGAAAUUGUCAAAAGGGAAGCGUUUGACACCAGUGUUGUUUUCUCGAAAAUCAAUUAAAAAUGGCUCGAUUUUGUAUUGCUUGAGACCUUAAAAGCUCACUGUACAUUUUUCGUGUCUUUUUUAAUGCACUUUUCGUUUAACAAGUCAACAUCAGUUUCUUUUGUUGUAAAAGGGUCAUUGGAAGGUGGCUUUCUUUUCGGAGAAAGUGUUUAUAGCCUUUGGCCUCUGCAAUCGGAGAGACUGAGGUCUGCAGCGUAGACUCUUCGGGGUUAGAUACAUUUGUGCUAAGUUAUAGCUUUUUAUAGACAACUUGUUGACUAUAAUUAGUCUUGUAGCUUACUCGCUUAUGCUAUUUUACCUACGCUUAGGAUGUUGAAGAUGUAGCACAUCAU